AUUGAACGCUAGCGGCAUGCUUUACACAUGCAAGUCGAACGGCAGCGCGGGGUAACCUGGCGGCGAGUGGCGAACGGGUGAGUAAUACAUCGGAACGUGCCCUGUGAUGGGGGAUAACUACGCGAAAGCGUAGCUAAUACCGCAUACGACCUAAGGGUGAAAGUGGGGGAUCGAAAGACCUCACGUCAUAGGAGCGGCCGAUGGCGGAUUAGCUAGUUGGUGAGGUAAAGGCUUACCAAGGCAACGAUCCGUAGCUGGUCUGAGAGGACGACCAGCCACACUGGGACUGAGACACGGCCCAGACUCCUACGGGAGGCAGCAGUGGGGAAUCUUGGACAAUGGGGGCAACCCUGAUCCAGCAAUGCCGCGUGUGGGAUGAAGGCCUUCGGGUUGUAAACCACUUUUGGCGGGGGCGAAAUAUCGAGUGCUAAUACCAUUCGGUGAUGACGGUACCCGCAGAAUAAGCACCGGCUAACUACGUG
rnacentral:rRNA from 2 species